UUUUUGAUUUGUUUAAAUAAAAGUUUGAUUCUGUCUUUUAAUGUUUAAUAAAUUAGCUUUUAAAGUUUAUGUAAUAUUAAAUAUAAGUUUUUGCGUGGAAUUUAUUUAAUCUAAAUGAUUAAAUUUGUUUUGUUAUUUGUAGUUUUUAUUUUUUUGUAUUGCAGUAAUGUAGAUCUUAGUUAAUUAUUGAUAGAAUUGUGAAAGGUUGUGCCAGCAGACGCGGUUAUACAUCCAAUUCAAGUUAAUUUUUUUGGUUUGUAUU
rnacentral:rRNA from 1 species